UUCCUUUCGGAUCUGUUCGCACUUCGCAGUCGGACUUUUGCCGCUUUGUCUAUGCUUUGCAGGCUGGCAGAGAUGCCAGAUGCGAACGUUUUAUGCAAAACUGUAAAUGGCAAUGUUGUACGUUACUUUCAAGAUGGCUGCUGGCAUUCGAUGAGAGUCGACAGCAACUGACAGUUCGCACAUUUCGCAGGUGAAAUGGAUCGUCCGGUUUGUAGAAUGGUUUCGAGAUUAGAACAGGCUUUGAUUUUGUUGCAGCCAGCUGAAUAGUGGUGUUAGCUGUUGCAUGCAGUCUGUGGUGCUGGUGUGAUGUCCAAUGGAACUGUUGCAUGCAGCGUGUAGUGCCGGUGUGAUGUCAAGGGGAGCUGCUGCAUGUAUUCUGUGGUGUUUACCUGAAAUGUAUUGGCUGUUGUGGACUGAAAAGCUGACUAGGUUGAAUAAAAUUAAAUUUAAAAAAAAAAUGGGUUUUAAAAAGGGGUUUAAUGUUUGCAGCAUCAUUAGUAUAAGGAAAAUGUUUGUUGUUUGAAAUUUGUUUUUGCAGUUGAACAGAUUUUCUGGUCUUGGGUACACUGUCUAAUAUAUCUAGCAUGUUAUAUCUUUUUUCUGCAUAAAUAGUACAAUUAUUUCAAACUAAUAUUAACAGUAUUGAAAUUCACAUUUGUCUGAUUGAAUUCGAUUUUGCGGCGAUUAUUGUAAGUAAUGAUAAAUAAAUUGAAUGUAUAUUAAA